ACUUCAGCGAUCGGCAAACUGAGGUGCAGUGGAAACUGAGGGUUCGGGCAAGGGUCACCAAAAGUCAGUGGUGAGCGGGAGACAGGCCCGAAAGAGCUGAGGAAGUGUAAACUCCAGUGAUAAGGCGAUAACUUGAGGAAAUUAAAACCCCGUAGUGUGGGAAAGAACAAUUAGCCAAGACAGAGGGGCAGGAAGGAAUACAGAAUGAAUUACAAUCAGAGGAAACUAGCCAGCAACAAAAGAGAUGAACUGGCGGGGGCGGGGCGAGAGAGACAGGAGAAGUGACUUAAGAAUGCUGGCUUCUCUGGGUUCCAUCACCGCCUUCUUGUUAGGUCGCCGUCGCUGUGCUCAUAAUUUAACCCCUUUAUGCCUCGGAGUGUCUAACUCCAAGGCAGCUAUCUUUAUCCAUGAAGUUCUUUGAGAUUGUGCCACGAAUAUGAUGAAUUCCAGGUCUGGGCUUGAUGUUCACCGAUUUUCCCUCAGCUCCGACUGUGGCUCCUCUCAGCUGACUCUGACCCUGCUCUCAGCCAGGCUGCAUCUGCCCAUCUCAGCACAUCAAUAAACAGCAGAGGGAAACUACCACCUUGGAGGGAGCCAGGCAGUUUCUGCUGGGCAGGCCGCAGCCUGGAGCAUGGAAGUAGCUUCUUCCAUCCUACACUGGAAACCACCCAGCACCCCGGGCCCUCCAGAGAGGAGCCAGACUCCCUUCCCUGGGAAGAGACUACAGUCCUAUCUGUAUCCUCCAUGGUCAUUUUCCCUCAGUCACAGCAAUGAAGAGCAAAUUACCUGUUUUCUGUAUGUUCCUCUGACAACAACUGCCACAGAAUAAAUAUGAAAGGUUCUGGAUGAUUCGUUGUCAGCUUUUAUUAAAAUUCUACAUACUUGG